CGGAGCCACUCGGGGCUCACCCGGCCGCCGGGCCCGCGGGACGCGCGGCGCCGCCAGGGCAGGGCGCCGGGCUCCCGCAGGGGCAGGUCGGCCCGCUCGGCCAUCGCAGGCCGGAGGUCGCCCCGGGCUCCGCACGGCCGGCCGGGGCCUCCUCCGAGACUCCCCGCGGCCCGAGCGAGCGGCCGGCCGAGGAGGGCUCCGCGUGGCCCGGGCCUGGCCCGCAGCCUGGACGGAGCUAAACAACGCUUUGUCUUCUGGAAGCCAGCUGGCCUUCUCGCUUGUCCCGCGGCAGGGAGAGUGGGGAUCGUGUUUCGAAGACACCACCACCCUCUUUGGAACAAAAAAAGGGGAUUGAUGUUUACCUAAAAGUGGUGAGCCAAGGAUCAGCCUAACCAGCAAAGCAUACGCUCCGGGAUCAAUUUAGUUAAUAAUCCACUGCUAGUGCCCGAGAGGCCGCUGGCCUCUAUAGCAACUCCUCGUCACAGUGAGACAGGACACUGGCGUAGGCUUUGCUUGGGCGAAAACAACAGGGCACACGGAGAGGUAAACACAGGGCGCUUCAAAGAGUUCACGGAAAAAGAGUUCAAACGGGUGUAGACUGAUGCCCCAAAUUUUUGAAAUCCAUGCCUAGUUUCUUCAUACUGUAGUUCACAUAAAUCUAAAGAUUUGUUUAUUUAUUUGAAAAAGUUACAGUGAGAGGGAAAUCUUCUGUCUACUGCUUCACUCCCCAGAUGGCCACAACAGCUCAGGCCGGGCCAAGCCGAAGCCAGGAAUCCCGUCCGGGUCUCCCACACGUGUGUCAGGAGCCCAAGCACGUGGGCCAUCCUCUGCUGCUUUCCCAGGCGCAGUAGCAGGGAGCUGGCUGGGGGGCGGAGAAGCGAGGACUCCAGCCGGUGCUCAUGUGGGAUAUAGGUCUCAGGCGACAGCUUAGCCUGCUCCACAGUGCAGGCCCCCUAAUGCCUAUUUUCUACGAACAUUUUUGAAGACACCCCCUGUUAUGUGUGGAUUUCAAGUUUUUUUUUACAUCAAAAUAAAUAUAUCCUUUAAUUCUAUUUUCCGUGGACUUCUUGAAGUGCGCUUGUUGGUCACUGAAGAGUGGAAGUGGAAAGCAGUACAUAGCAAGAACGCAUUCGUUCCGUCAAAGACCCUGAGCACCAGAGGCUGAGACCCCGUUGGGUCAGACCAGGGUCUCACAGGGAGUUAGCCACAGAGCACUGGCCAGCCUUCAUUCAUGACAGCUAACAGUGUUUUUGACUGAUUCCUAAAAGAUGCCUUACUUGUUAUUAAAGAAAAAGAAAAGCAUUCAUCAGAUAAUUUAUUUAAAAAUGAAAGUGGAUGACUGGGACCCACUUCUGAUUUACACUGCCAACCAGCCCCAGAGAGCUAUGCGCAUCCCAUAACUUGCUGUGUGCAGCAACCAGUGAGAGCGCACGGGUCGGGCCUGGCACUGAGGCACAGCAGGUCAUGCUGCCACUUGCGAUGCUGGCGUCUCACGACGGACCGCCAGCUUAAGUCCCGCUUGCUCCACGUCUCAUCCAGCCUCCUGCUAGUGCACCUGGGAAGGCAGCAGAUGAUGGCCCAAAUGCUUGGACCCUGCCUGCCCCCCAAUUAAGAGACCCAGAUGGAGUUCCUGGUUCCUGGCUUCAGCCUGGUCCGGCGCUGGCCGCUGUGGCCAUUUGGGGAGUCAGCCAGCAGAUGGGAAGUCUCUCUCCCUCCCUCUCUUUUUGUUCCCCCACCCUGUCGGUUACUCUUUCAAAUAAAUAAUAUAUAUAUGUAAUAUAUUAUAUAUAAAGAUAAUAUAUAUUAUCUUUUUUUGACAGGUAGAGUUAUAGACAGUGAGAGAGAGAGACAGAGAGAAAGUUCUUCCUUCCAUUGGUUCACCCUCCAAAUGGCCACUGCGCCGAUCCGAAGCCAGGAGCCAGGUGCUUCUCCUGGUCUCCCAUGGGGUGCAGGGCCCAAGCACCUGGGCCAUCCUCCACUGCACUCCCUGGCCACAGCAGAGGGCUGGAUUGGAAGAGGGGCAACCAGGACAGAAUCUGGCGCCCUGACCGGGACUAGAACCUGGGGUAGCCAAGCAAGCCACAGCGCCAGCCAUAUAUAUAUUAUCUUUAAAAAUAAAAGAACACAGGUCAUUGCACAGAGCAUAAAGUAUCACACCUGAACAGAUAGAUCACUUCCCUGCCAUGUCGAGUGGCUGAAAACGUGCUCUGUUCUUUGCUAUUUAUGUAAAUAAGGGUUUAGAGUAAAGCACUCGACUUGGCUUGGGAGAAAGAAGCCAGGGGAUUCGUCUCCAGCUGCCAGAAUAUUCCUACCUCCUCACCCCCACUUAUUCCCUUCCCUCCGAAACACCCAUGAGAGUCACGCUGAAUUCAAGUGAUUCUUACUAUUCUGAAACAUGUUCUAAAUAGGUUUGUAUUGAAAGUGUACCUUUUUGUUUAUUUUUAGAAGUUUUUCUGAGUUUGGAAGAUGAAAAUUAAGAAGUGAACUUUCAUGUCUCCUCCUCUGGACACCGACGUAUCACACGUUACAGUCGAGGUGCUGAGACAGAGAAAGACGAGAGAGAUUGUUCCUCUGCUGGUUCAUCCCCUAAAUGCAAGCAAUGCCCAGAGUUGGGCCUGGUGAAACCAGGAGCCUGGAGUGAACCCCGAGUGCCGUGUGGGUGACGGGAUCCAGACACGUGAGCCGUCCCCUGCUGCCUCCUUCCUGCGCGUUUGCAGGAAGCAGGAUCCAACGAGGAGGAGCUGGGGCUUGAGCCAGGCACUGCAGUGCGGAAUGCGACAGGCACCCCGAGUGGAACUCAGCUGCUGUCCCGAUGCCCACCCCUGUCGUCCGCUCUCUGGCCUGCAGCACAGAGCGGCUUCCAUAACGGAAGGUUUUAAGUAUGUUCUUCAGUGCUAGCUUGUCGGGGGAAUUGAAGUAGCCCCUUGACAGUAGGGACUCCAUUAUGGGGCACUUGAGACUGCAUUCUGGGAAAGCACCCCUCCCACCAUGAGACUCGGGUCUGAAACUAUGAUCUCAAAUAGUCGGACAAUAGCAGUGCACCACAUCACCCUUGGCAGAGCACAAAAACCCCCGAGCAUGAUUGCUCAAGCUUAAAAGUAGAAAGGUUGCACCUGGGUUACCUGAGCUAAUCAUGAAGAUGGGAUUUGUCUAUGUCUUAAGAUCAUAAUUGCUGAUUGUAAGAUUUUAGCAACCACUUAGCAGCCGUGUAUUCUCUCCCCCCUCCCGAUUUUGCGGUUUUUGCCUUUAUAAACCCUAUGCUGUAGUUCCUCGAGGCUCCUCUGUUCUUGUAUGUUCAGAGAGCCCCAACAUGUUGGAUCAAUAAAUCUUUAACCCUUUGCUGGUUGCAUGAGAGAAAGUCUCUUGGAGUCGUUCCUCGGGCGGUGGGCGUUUUCAGACCCUAACAGAAUAACAGCCAUUUGGC